AUGCUGGAUUGGUGCACAGCACAGCACAGCAGUGAGUCACACAUCUCUACCAAGGAGCAGCACACCAUGACAACAUCCACCAACUUCUUUUUUCCUCCUGUUUUUGAGCUCAGCUCCAGAAAUUCCCUCUCUCUGCUCUCAGCACAGCGUUACCCACACUGCCCGGCAGGUGGCGCUGUUGCACGGCUCCCGAUACCCGCCAUCACCGCGCCGUGCGGAUGGCGGCAUCGCCGUCGUCGCGCCGCGCCCGUAUCCCCACGUGCCCUCCCCUCUUCUUACAGCGCCCCCUCCCCCGCGCGGAGCCUCCCCCCGAGAACCAAUAGGAAGCCUGUUGCCAGGCAAACCUCUCAUUUGAAUGGCCCAAUCGCACGGCCGCCCUCUGUCCCUCCUUAUAUGGGGAAGCGGGACUCGCCGCCCGCCCCUCCCCCCCCGCUUUGCGCGCGGCGCUGCGCCCGGCCCCGCCCCCAGCCCGCACAGCGCGGGAAAAACAGCCUCCCUCCUUCCCUCCCGCCCCACCCCCACCGUGCGUUGGGGCCCCGUGGCGGCGGGACGCGGCGGGGAGGAGCCGGGGCUGGCAGCGCUUCCAGGGGGAGGGCGGCAGCACAGUGGAAAAUUCCAGGCGGGAGCGGCACGAGCCGGGCCGUGCCCACGCUGCCCGACAGACGCUGCCCCGCCGUGCUGCCCCGUGCUGGGGCGGCUCCUCCCUCGCACCUCUGGGCUCUGUUAGUGCGGCCCGGCCCUCAGGCACCGCCGCGCCGUCCCCCCACCGUCCGCCCCGUGUCCGGCCGUGUGCCCGCAGCCAGGCGGACUGGCCGCGCUCCGCGCCGCCCGCACAUUGUUCUCGGGGCCCGCUCCGCCGACGGCCGCCCUCCGCCUCCCUCCCUCCCUCCCUCCCUCCUCCGCCCUCUCCCCUCCCUUCGCCAGGUCCCUCCUUCCCUCGUCACCCGGCGCGGUAUAAAUCCCCUCCGCCGCCGUAUCCCCCAUCGCGGCGGACCCAGGCACUUUGGCCCCGGGGCGGGAUCCGUGCGGCCGGACCGCUGGGACUCGGAGCUCCCGCCUCGUGCCGACCUUCCCUCCGCCCCCCCCUUCUCUCUCCUCCUCGGGGUGUCCCCGCCGCCCCGCGCUGCCCGUGCCACGAUGUCGGAGAAACGCGUCGAGGAGGCUCCGGCGGAGCUGAGCGCCAAGGUGAGCCCGGCACCGGCCGCCCCCUCCCACGGCCCCGACCGCCCGGCCGCCAGGGGGGCGCGCGGCCCCUCCGCCAAUGGGCAGCGGGGGCGGGGGGCGCAGGGGCCCGCGCGCGGGAUCCCGCUCGGCGGGGUGGCGGGAAGGGGGGGGCGGAGCGGCGCGGGGGCUCCGCUGUGCUCUAGGGGCGGCUCCGCUGUGCUCUAG
rnacentral:lncRNA from 1 species